UCGAGCAAGGCCCCAUUCGAAAUUCUCUAUAGCAGGAAGUGUCGUACUCCUCUUAACUGGUCAGAGACUGGUGAACAUCAACUUCUUGGCAAUGACUUGAUCACAGAGGCAGAAGAGAUGUGCAAAGUCAUUCGUGAUAAUCUCAAAGCCGCGCAAUCGCGCCAGAAGAGUUACUAUGAUAGCAAACAUCGUGACUUGGCUUUCGAGAUCGGAGACCAUGUCUACCUCUGCGUCUCUCCAAUUAAAGGUACUCGUCUCUUCGGUAUCAAAGGGAAGCUUGCCCCUAGAUACGUGGGUCCUUUCAAGAUCGUCAGCAAAAGA
rnacentral:rRNA from 1 species